rnacentral:tRNA from 1 species
ACUUAGGUAGUUUAAUGUUGUAUAAAAUAUUGAUUUGUGGUGUCAGUGAUAUAAAUUGUUUAUCUUAAGUU